rnacentral:rRNA from 1 species
AGAGUUUGAUCCUGGCUCAGGACGAACGCUGGCGGCGUGCUUAACACAUGCAAGUCACGGGGGCCCGCAAGGGCAACCGGCGAACGGGUGCGUAACACGUGAGCAACCUGCCUUUGUGUGGGGGAUAGCCGGGCUAACGCCCGGGUAAUACCGCAUACGGUCGCUGGGGGGAGUCCCUCGGCGAAGAAACCUCCGGGGCACAGAGAGGGGCUCGCGGCCUAUCAGCUAGUUGGCGGGGUAAUGGCCCACCAAGGCGACGACGGGUAGCUGGUCUGAGAGGAUGGCCAGCCACAUUGGGACUGAGAGACGGCCCAGACUCCUACGGGAGGCAGCAGUGGGGAAUCUUGCGCAAUGGCCGAAAGGCUGACGCAGCGACGCCGCGUGUGGGAGGACGCCUUUCGGGGUGUAAACCACUGUUGCCCGGGACGAACAUCUUCUUUCGAGGAGACUGACGGUACCGGGUGAGGAAGCACCGGCUAACUCCGUGCCAGCAGCCGCGGUAAU